UACGUAGGGUGCGAGCGUUGUCCGGAUUUAUUGGGCGUAAAGAGCUCGUAGGUGGUCUGUUGCGUCGGUUGUGAAAACCCGGGGCUUAACUCCGAGCCUGCAGUCGAUACGGGCAGACUAGAGUUCGGCAGGGGAGACUGGAAUUCCUGGUGUAGCGGUGAAAUGCGCAGAUAUCGGGAGGAACACCGGUGGCGAAGGCGGUUCUCUGGGCCUUAACUGACGCUGAGGAGCGAAAGCGUGGGGAGCGAACAGG
rnacentral:rRNA from 1 species